rnacentral:rRNA from 1 species
AGAGUUUGAUCCUGGCUCAGGACGAACGCUGGCGGCGUGCCCAAUACAUGCAAGUCGAGCGGACCAAUAGAAAAGCUUGCUUUUCUUGAGGUUAGCGGCGGACAGGUGAGUAACACGUGGGCAACCUACCUGUAAGACUGGGAUAACUUACGGAAACGUGAGCUAAUACCGGAUAGUUUCACUUCUCGCAUGAGAAGUGAAGGAAAGAUGGCUUUUAGCUAUCACUUACAGAUGGGCCCGCGGCGCAUUAGCUAGUUGGUGGGGUAAAGGCCUACCAAGGCAACGAUGCGUAGCCGACCUGAGAGGGUGAUCGGCCACACUGGGACUGAGACACGGCCCAGACUCCUACGGGAGGCAGCAGUAGGGAAUCUUCCGCAAUGGACGAAAGUCUGACGGAGCAACGCCGCGUGAGCGAAGAAGGUCUUCGGAUCGUAAAGCUCUGUUGUUAGGGAAGAACAAGUACCGGAGUAACUGUCGGUACCUUGACGGUACCUAACCAGAAAGCCACGGCUAACUACGUGCCAGCAGCCGCGGUAAUACGUAGGUGGCAAGCGUUGUCCGGAAUCAUUGGGCGGUAAGCGCGCGCAGGCGGUCCUUUAAGUCUGAUGUGAAAUCUUGCGGCUCAACCGUA